AAUGUUCAGAAAGAAACCUUCCCUAUCACACAAGACUUUCGGCAGAAUAAUUUACAGCAUACCAGUGGUUCUCAAGUUUCUGUGUCUUACAGGAUGUGAGUGAUGCCAGCCACGGGCACAAGCCUCUCCCAGGGCUAUCACCAGAUUGUGGCAUGCUCUGGGCAGGAUCGGCAAAGCUGUGGUGAGUUUCUCUGCAGUUUUCUCCUGGAACAUCUGCAGUUCAUCCUCUCCCACCACCAACUUCCAGACUUGGGAAUAAUUGGGAGGCCAGUCAUUAAGUGGAACACAAAAAUUAAACCUGGGCCAGAUACUGGUUUAAGCAUUUUGAAAACUUUAACUCAUUAAUUCCUCAUGAAGUGGGCACUAUUAUUAUCCCUGUUUUACAGGAGAUGAAACAGAAACAGAGAGGCUAGGAAACUUCCCCGGGGUCACAGAGCCAGACUACCUGCUUGCCCUGAAAUCUUUUUAGUUUGUGUCAUGGUAUUACCUACUGACUUGUUUGGGUUUCUGUACCCAGACAUGAAUGGGAGCCUACUUAGGGCCAAGCACUGUGCCUUGGAGACUGUGAGCCCUUGAAAGGCGGGUAGGUGUCAGGUCCUGCUGUCCGUACGUCUGCUGUAGCACUUGGCACAUCGUACAUCCGAAGACGUGUUUGUCAGACUCACAGUUGUGACUCCUUACUAUUGGCUUUGGAGGAAUUCUCACUGGUCAGAUUGCCUGGUCCCCCUACUUCUGUAUGACGUUUGAAGUAAAACCUUUCUAGAAACGGGCCUGCCAUCAAAAGCCCCUGGCAUCAGUACCCCCGUCCUCCACGUGUUUCCCAUUAUUCUGGUGAGUCUAACCAGGAAGCUAUUUUAUUUUUUCUUUUUCUGGAACACAUCAAGCUCUUGUGAUUAGGAGACACAACUGGAACUCUGCAGAGAGGGACAUUGUGAAGCUGCAUCCCAAGGGAGUAAUCCAGCAUGAGUAAGAGAAAGUCUCCAAAGUGCUGAGCAGGUACACAUGCCCCAAACAACACGUCCUCUGACCCAUGGAAUGUCCGGGGCUUGAAAAACAAAUCGCUGUCCUUUCAAAAGCUUAAAUGCUCAGUCCACUCUAUACAAUGCAACGAAAUUACCUCAAGGCUAUAGAUUGUUGAAAUUAGCUGAUUAAAGUAAUCCACAUAACAAUUUAUGAACCACAUUCUCAUUGAGGAAAUAAAAGGAACAUUGGCUGCA
rnacentral:lncRNA from 1 species